rnacentral:lncRNA from 1 species
GAAUUUGAAAAACAUUCUUCUGUAUAAUAAUAUGCUUAGUGGUACAUUACCAGCAGAAUUUGGAAACUGCACUUCUCUUGUUGAGAUAAGUCUUGUCAGUAACUUCAUCAGCGGGGAAAUCCCUUCAGAACUUUGCAACCUCCGAAACCUAGCAAAAUUAAAUGCAUUCGAAAAUAAAAUUCACGGUCAAAUUCCAGAAUGCAUUGGAAAAAUAAGCGAACUGCAGGAACUAGCUCUUUAUGAUAACCAAUUGACCAGCGAGAUACCACCUGGAAUUACAAAUAUGACGAAACUUGCGUAUCUUUCUUUGGCUCAUAAUAACCUUACAGGGGAGGUGCCACCUGAUCUCGGAAAAAAUAAUUUUCCUGGCUUAAUUAAGGUUGAUUUGGGUUAUAAUAACUUCAUUGGACAGAUUCCUUCUGAACUGUGUCAAGGGAACAGGCUUGCAGUCCUGACUCUUGAAAACAACCGUUUCAGUGGAAGUUUCCCAACCAAUAUAGCAAAAUGCAAAUCUGUAUAUAGGGUGAGCCUUUUCAACAACCAUUUGCAGGGGAAUAUUCCUGAUGACAUUGAAAAGAAUGAGAACAUUUCUUACUUGAAUGUUCGAGGAAAUAUGCUCGCAGGAAGGAUUCCAGCAUCAUUUGGUUAUUGGACCAACCUUUCAGCAAUUGACUUUUCAGACAAUAUGUUUUCUGGCUCCAUACCUGCGGAAUUUGGGAAGCUGCAAAAUCUUGUAAGAAUG